rnacentral:rRNA from 1 species
AGACGUCUACAUUAGAUACCCGGGUAGUCCCAGCCGUAAACUAUGCGCGUUAGGUGUAUCGGUGACCACGAGUUACCGAGGUGCCGAAGGGAAACCGUGAAACGUGCCGCCUGGGAAGUACGGUCGCAAGGCUGAAACUUAAAGGAAUUGGCGGGGGAAGCACCACAACAGGUGGAGCCUGCGGUUUAAUUGGACUCAACGCCGGGAAGCUCACCGGAUAGGACAGCAGAAUGAUUGCCGGGCUGAAGACCCUGCAUGACUAGCUG